rnacentral:rRNA from 1 species
CCUACGGGAGGCAGCAGUGAGGAAUAUUGGUCAAUGGGCGGGAGACUGAACCAGCCAAGUCGCGUGAGGGAAGAAGGUCCAGUGGAUUGUGACCCUCUUUUGUCAGGGAGCAAAGAACGGCACGCGUGGCGUGCCGAGAGUACCCGAAGAAAAAGCAUCGGCUACCUCCGUGCCAGCAGCCGCGGUAAUACGGAGGAUGCGAGCGUUAUCCGGAUUUAUUGGGUUUAAAGGGUGCGCAGGCGGAAGGUCAAGUCAGCGGUAAAACAGAGGGGCUCAACCUCUUCGCGCCGUUGAAACUGGUAGUCUUGAGUGAGUGAGAAGUAUGCGGAAUGCGUGGUGUAGCGGUGAAAUGCAUAGAUAUCACGAAGAACUCCGAUUGCGAAGGCAGUACACUGGACUGCAACUGACACUGAGGCUCGAAAGUGUGGGUAUCAAACAGGAUUAGAUACCCCAGUAGUC